CCUACGGGUGGCAGCAGUGGGGAAUAUUGGGCAAUGGGCGCAAGCCUGACCCAGCAACGCCGCGUGAAUGAUGAAGGCUUUCGGGUUGUAAACUUCUUUUGUCUGGGACGAAUCAAUUGCCGGUACCUGACGAUUAAGCCACGGCUAACUACGUGCCAGCAGCCGCGGUAAUACUUAGGUGGCAACCGUUAUCCGGAUUUCUUGGGUGUAAAGGGCGUGUAGGCGGGAAUUCAAGUCAGUGGUGAAUACCAUGGGCUUAACUCAUGGGCUGCAUUUGAAACUGUAUUUCUUGAGUGCUGGAGAGGCAAUCGGAAUUCCGUGUGUAGCGGUGAAAGGCGUAGAUAUACGGAGGAACACCAGUGGCGAAGGCGAAUUGCUGGACAGUAACUGACGCUGAGGCGCGAAAGCGUGGGGAGCAAACAGGAUUAGAUACCCGGGUAGUC
rnacentral:rRNA from 1 species